rnacentral:rRNA from 1 species
AUUGAACGCUGGCGGCAGGCCUAACACAUGCAAGUCGAGCGAGCGGCGGACGGGUGAGUAAUGUAUGGGGAUCUGCCCGAUAGAGGGGGAUAACUACUGGACACGGUGGCUAAUACCGCAUACUAUCGGAUGAACCCAUAUGGGAUUAGCUAGUGGGUGGGGUAAAGGCUCACCUAGGCGACGAUAUCUAGCUGGUCUGAGAGGAGGAUCAGCCAAACGGGGACUGAGACACGGCCCAGACUCCUACGGGAGGCAGCAGUGGGGAAUAUGGCAAAAGGGGCGCAAGCCGGAGGCAGCCAUGCCGGGUGUAUGAAGAAGGCCUUAGGGUUGUAAAGUACGUUCAGCGGGGAGGCGUUACCCGAAGAAGAAGCACCGGCUAACUCCGUGCCAGCAGCCGCGGUAAUAC